AUAGAGCGGCGCUGCCGGGCCUGCGCGGGAGGCCGCUCCCGGCUGACCAGGCCGCGGCCCGCUCCCCUCAGAGGAAAACACAAUUAUUUCCCUUUAUCCUCAACCCGGACACGGCCACGCGUAAGAGGAGGCCCCAAGCAGUAGCCAAAGGGCAGCGGGGGCGGGGGGUUCUCCCUGCUCAGGCCCCGUUCUGGCUUGCUCAGCGCACGAGGGGUGUCCUGCCAUCUCGGGCUGUUUUUCUUUUAAAUCUGUAACUGAAAAGGAAUUCCAGGCAUCGCCCAGUGACUGCUUUAGACUAAACAAAGUGAAAGGAGCUACAAAGCAUCAUCAUCCUCCAGGCUUCUCUUCCUGAGGCUUAUGCAGAGUUUCACCGACUGAUUUAUGAUCAAGCUCACACUGUAUGAAGUUAAGAUACCAGAGAACGUGCUCAGGCUGGAGCUGGGAUCAGGAGAACAAUCUUGGAACAUCUGGGAAAUCUGAUCAUUCCAUUAGAAAUGUGUUCAUAGAAGAAUUUCUUGGCUAUUUCAAUUCACCUGAUUAAUGUAACUAUUAGAAGCAAGGGUUGUUUGUUGGGGUUUUUUUGCUUGUGUGGUGGUUGGGGUUUGUUUUUUUUAGAGAAAUUUAAAGGGAAAGAUUUUCCCAAUAUUAAAUAAUUUGAAAAGACAGGAAAGAUUUAUUGAAAAUGUAACCACAGUAAAACUGCUGCUCA